AUUAUAAAGCGAUGUCCCAAUUUGAUAUGUAUUCCGGAGCUACAAAAUUCGUGCAAUGUUACCCAAUUAGAAAUCAGCGAUUGUCCUAAUUUGGUAUCAACUCCAGAAUUGCAAUAUCCUACCAAAAUAAAAAUUAGAAAUGGUGGAAAGUUGACUUGUCUGCCAAAGUGGCGCUUUUCCGAGUUAAAGUAUUUGGACAUUGGUCCGUUUUGUGAGGAGCUGGAUGCUUUCCCCAGUCUCAUCGAUUCCACUCCCUUCCAACACUCGUACGAGUCCCUCCAAAUUCUACAGUUGUAUGGGUGGACUAAACUCAACUCUCUCCCAGACAAAAUUCAAAGCUUCACCGCCCUUACAAGACUGGACAUAUCUGAAUUUGACGGAAUGGAAGCUUUGCCUGAGUGGUUGGGCAACCUUUCUUCUCUUCAAUACCUGUACCUUUGCAACUGCAACAACCUGAUGUAUCUGCUCACAGCGCAAGCCAUGGGACGCAUCACCAAAUUAGAGAUUUAUUAUUGCUCCAAAUUAAAGGAAAGAUGUGCAAAGGUGAGUGGUGCAGAGUGGUCCAAAAUUGCCCAUAUUCCAAGUAUCUGGAUCGACGAUUAUCUUGAGGAAGCUAUUUGAAGAUCGUACAAAUUAUCAUUGGAGAAGAUGAGCGUUUUUCCAAAAUGGGUUGCCUGGAUGUGGAGAACUAGAAAUGGCAAUUUAAUUGCCCCAAAUUAAAGGAAAGAUGUGCAAAGGGGAGCAGCGCAGAGUGGUCCAACAUUUCCUACAUUCCAAAUAUCAGAAUCGAUUAUGAACAUAUCUACAGUUAUUCAUUUUUCUGUCACCAAAAAAAA